CAGUAGCCGCGGUAAUACGAAGGGGGCUAGCGUUGUUCGGAAUUACUGGGCGUAAAGCGCACGUAGGCGGAUAUUUAAGUCAGGGGUGAAAUCCCAGAGCUCAACUCUGGAACUGCCUUUGAUACUGGGUAUCUUGAGUAUGGAAGAGGUGAGUGGAAUUCCGAGUGUAGAGGUGAAAUUCGUAGAUAUUCGGAGGAACACCAGUGGCGAAGGCGGCUCACUGGUCCAUUACUGACGCUGAGGUGCGAAAGCGUGGGGAGCAAACAGGAUUAGAUACCCCCGUAGUCCCUGUCUCUUAUAC
rnacentral:rRNA from 1 species